AGCGAACGUUCGCGGCGGGCUUAACACAUGCAAGUCGAACGCGAAAGGGAUUCGUCCCCGGUAGCGUGGCGUCCGGGUGAGUAACACGUAGGAAACCUUCCUUCGAGCGGGGGAUAACGUCCCGAAAGGGACGCUAAUACCGCAUAUGCCCACGUCGUCUUCGGACGAUGAGGGGAAAGCUGGCCUCUGUAUACAAGCUAGCACUCGAGAAUGGUCCUGCGGCGCAUCAGCUAGUUGGUGGGGUAACGGCCUACCAAGGCGAAGACGCGUAGCUGGUCUGAGAGGAUGAUCAGCCACACUGGCACUGAAACACGGGCCAGACUCCUACGGGAGGCAGCAGUGGGGAAUAUUGGACAAUGGGCGCAAGCCUGAUCCAGCCACGCCGCGUGAGUGAUGAAGGCCUUCGGGUUGUAAAAGCUCUGUGGGGAGGGACGAAAACGGCCAGUAAGAAACGACUGGUCCUUGACGGUACCUCCUUAGCAAGCACCGGCUAACUCUGUGCCAGCAGCCGCGGUAAUACAGAGGGUGCGAACGUUGCUCGGAAUUACUGGGCGUAAAAGCGCGUGUAGGCGGAUUGCUAAGUCGGGCGUGAAAUCCUCAGGCUCAACCUGGGAACUGCGCUCGAAACUGGCAGUCUCGAGUAUCGGAGAGGGUGGCGGAAUUCCUGGUGUAGAGGUGAAAUUCGUAGAUAUCAGGAGGAACACCGGUGGCGAAGGCGGCCACCUGGACGAUUACUGACGCUGAGACGCGAAAGCGUGGGGAGCAAACAGGAUUAGAU
rnacentral:rRNA from 1 species